CCAUGCGUCAUCAACUUUUGCAAAGAGUUAGGAAUAGGGUCGUUUCUACCCUCAACAGGCAGCCCAUUGACUUUGAAUACUUAGACUUAGUGUGUUCCCAGGAGCUGCAGUUUCUUCGAGCUGCAGCGGCUUACAUUGAUCUGGAGGAGACAGUGGUAGAGCAUUUUCAAAACCUGAGUGCAGUUGUAAGUUCUUAUGCCUCAGCUAAUGCUUCAUCCCCAAGAACUUUUAACAUAACACACGUAGAAUACAAUGGGAAUGCAGGGAGACCAAAAGUUAAUACAGAUUUUGAAACACUCACUCAUUUACUUAGUAGUGGUUUGCCUUUGACUUCUUUGUGUAGGCUUACUGGAAUUUCACGGUCAACAUUUUAUAGACGUAUGAAAGAGCAUAAUCUGUCUGUAAGAAAACUCUAUUCCAGCAUUUCAGAUGCUGCAUUAUAUCAGAAGGUUAGAUCUAUAAAGAGCAGAAUGCCAAAUGCUGGCUACAGAUUGGUGAAAGGGUCUCUUCAAGCAAUGGGUGUCAGGAUUCCCUGGAAGAGAGUGCAAAUGUCUUUGUAGCGUGUGGACGGAGCAGGAAUUAUUUCCAGAAUGGUCCAGCUGUCUUGCAUUUCCAGACGACAAUACUGUGUUCCAGCUCCAUUAUCUCUUGUCCACAUUGAUACAAAUCAUAAGCUCAUCAGGUAUAACAUUGUUGUUUUUGGAGCAAUUGAUGGCUUUUCCAGGAAGAUAUUUUACUUGAACGCGGCUGGAAACAACAAGGCAGAAACAGCGUUUUGUUUCUUCAUGGAUGGGGUUUGCAAGCAUGGAUGGCC